rnacentral:rRNA from 1 species
UACGGAGGGGCUAGCGUUGUUCGGAAUUACUGGGCGUAAAGCGCACGUAGGCGGCUUUGCAAGUUAGAGGUGAAAGCCCGGGGCUCAACUCCGGAAUUGCCUCUAAAACUGCAUCGCUAGAAUUGUGGAGAGGUAAGUGGAAUUCCGAGUGUAGAGGUGAAAUUCGUAGAUAUUCGGAAGAACACCAGUGGCGAAGGCGACUUACUGGACACAUAUUGACGCUGAGGUGCGAAAGCGUGGGGAGCAAACAGG